rnacentral:hammerhead_ribozyme from 1 species
AUCCAGCUGACGAGUCCUGAAGGGAACGAAACACACGUCCUGGAU